UACGGAGGGAGCUAGCGUUGUUCGGAAUUACUGGCGUAAAGCGUGCGCAGGCGGUGAUGUAAGACAGUUGUGAAAUCCCCGGGCUUAACCUGGGAACUGCAUUUGUGACUGCAUCGCUGGAGUGCGGCAGAGGGGGAUGGAAUUCCGCGUGUAGCAGUGAAAUGCGUAGAUAUGCGGAGGAACACCGAUGGCGAAGGCAAUCCCCUGGGCCUGCACUGACGCUCAUGCACGAAAGCGUGGGGAGCAAACAGG
rnacentral:rRNA from 1 species